rnacentral:rRNA from 1 species
GCUUACGGCCAUACCAGCCUGGGUACGCCCGAUCUCGUCUGAUCUCGGAAGCUAAGCAGGGUCGGGCCUGGUUAGUACUUGGAUGGAGACCGCCUGGGAAUACCAGGUGCUGUAAGCA